rnacentral:rRNA from 1 species
CGGGACACGUGGUAUCCUGUCUGAAUAUGGGGGGACCAUCCUCCAAGGCUAAAUACUCCUGACUGACCGAUAGUGAACCAGUACCGUGAGGGAAAGGCGAAAAGAACCCCGGCGAGGGGAGUGAAAAAGAACCUGAAACCGUGUACGUACAAGCAGUGGGAGCACGCUUAGGCGUGUGACUGCGUACCUUUUGUAUAAUGGGUCAGCGACUUAUAUUCUGUAGCAAGGUUAACCGAAUAGGGGAGCCGAAGGGAAACCGAGUCUUAACUGGGCGUUAAGUUGCAGGGUAUAGACCCGAAACCCGGUGAUCUAGCCAUGGGCAGGUUGAAGGUUGGGUAACACUAACUGGAGGACCGAACCGACUAAUGUUGAAAAAUUAGCGGAUGACUUGUGGCUGGGGGUGAAAGGCCAAUCAAACCGGGAGAUAGCUGGUUCUCCCCGAAAGCUAUUUAGGUAGCGCCUCGUGAAUUCAUCUCCGGGGGUAGAGCACUGUUUCGGCAAGGGGGUCAUCCCGACUUACCAACCCGAUGCAAACUGCGAAUACCGGAGAAUGUUAUCACGGGAGACACACGGCGGGUGCUAACGUCCGUCGUGAAGAGGGAAACAACCCAGACCGCCAGCUAAGGUCCCAAAGUCAUGGUUAAGUGGGAAACGAUGUGGGAAGGCCCAGACAGCCAGGAUGUUGGCUUAGAAGCAGCCAUCAUUUAAAGAAAGCGUAAUAGCUCACUGGUCGAGUCGGCCUGCGCGGAAGAUGUAACGGGGCUAAACCAUGCACCGAAGCUGCGGCAGCGACGCUUAUGCGUUGUUGGGUAGGGGAGCGUUCUGUAAGCCUGUGAAGGUGUGCUGUGAGGCAUGCUGGAGGUAUCAGAAGUGCGAAUGCUGACAUAAGUAACGAUAAAGCGGGUGAAAAGCCCGCUCGCCGGAAGACCAAGGGUUCCUGUCCAACGUUAAUCGGGGCAGGGUGAGUCGACCCCUAAGGCGAGGCCGAAAGGCGUAGUCGAUGGGAAACAGGUUAAUAUUCCUGUACUUGGUGUUACUGCGAAGGGGGGACGGAGAAGGCUAUGUUGGCCGGGCGACGGUUGUCCCGGUUUAAGCGUGUAGGCUGGUUUUCCAGGCAAAUCCGGAAAAUCAAGGCUGAGGCGUGAUGACGAGGCACUACGGUGCUGAAGCAACAAAUGCCCUGCUUCCAGGAAAAGCCUCUAAGCAUCAGGUAACAUCAAAUCGUACCCCAAACCGACACAGGUGGUCAGGUAGAGAAUACCAAGGCGCUUGAGAGAACUCGGGUGAAGGAACUAGGCAAAAUGGUGCCGUAACUUCGGGAGAAGGCACGCUGAUAUGUAGGUGAAGCGACUUGCUCGUGGAGCUGAAAUCAGUCGAAGAUACCAGCUGGCUGCAACUGUUUAUUAAAAACACAGCACUGUGCAAACACGAAAGUGGACGUAUACGGUGUGACGCCUGCCCGGUGCCGGAAGGUUAAUUGAUGGGGUCAGCGCAAGCGAAGCUCUUGAUCGAAGCCCCGGUAAACGGCGGCCGUAACUAUAACGGUCCUAAGGUAGCGAAAUUCCUUGUCGGGUAAGUUCCGACCUGCACGAAUGGCGUAAUGAUGGCCAGGCUGUCUCCACCCGAGACUCAGUGAAAUUGAACUCGCUGUGAAGAUGCAGUGUACCCGCGGCAAGACGGAAAGACCCCGUGAACCUUUACUAUAGCUUGACACUGAACAUUGAGCCUUGAUGUGUAGGAUAGGUGGGAGGCUUAGAAGUGUGGACGCCAGUCUGCAUGGAGCCGACCUUGAAAUACCACCCUUUAAUGUUUGAUGUUCUAACGU